rnacentral:rRNA from 1 species
UGGGGAAUAUUGGACAAUGGGCGAAAGCCUGAUCCAGCCAUGCCGCGUGUGUGAAGAAGGUCUUCGGAUUGUAACGCACUUUAAGUUGGGAGGAAGGGCAGUAAGCGAAUACCUUGCUGUUUUGACGUUACCGACAGAAUAAGCACCGGCUAACUCUGUGCCAGCAGCCGCGGUAAUACAGAGGGUGCAAGCGUUAAUCGGAAUUACUGGGCGUAAAGCGCGCGUAGGUGGUUCGUUAAGUUGAAUGUGAAAGCCCCGGGCUCAACCUGGGAACUGCAUCCAAAACUGGCGAGCUAGAGUAGGGCAGAGGGUGGUGGAAUUUCCUGUGUAGCGGUGAAAUGCGUAGAUAUAGGAAGGAACACCAGUGGCGAAGGCGACCAGCUGGGCUCAUACUGACCCUGAGGUGCGAAAGCGUGGGGAGCAAACAGG